GGUUACAUUAUUUACAUAUCAUGAUGUUUUGAUAAGAAUGUUGUGACAUGGAAUGUGGGGUUUGUUGUCACUAUCAGCUCCAUUAUAACCAUAUCGUUCUGGAACAUUGCCACGGCCAGUAUAUAAUGAAUCCUGUAUAGGGAAAACUUUGGAAAAAACAGCUGUACUUUAUUUAUUUAUUUACUUUAUUUAAGGGAACAUUUUAUAUUUUAGUUUUACAAAAUAUGCAAAUGAACUGUCAUUUUGCUAAAAUAACACUUUUUUUAUUUGAUUUUUAGAUAACAUUAUUUAUAUCUAAUGAUGUGUUCAUAUUUUUUUGAUAAAAUGUUUUCAUUAGAAUGUUGUCACAUGGAGGUUUGUUGUCACUAUCAACUACAUUAUAACCAUAUCUUUCCAUAACAUUACAACUGUCAGAAUACAGUGAAUCCCUAUUUUGGGAAAAUGAUACAAUUUGGGAAGUAGACAAAUGUCUCCCCAUGUUCCUAAUAAUCAGUGUUAUGGUGGCUCUGUCACUAGCCCACUACUCUGAUAGAACAAAUAUAGCCUUUGAGGACUAUGCUGUGCUGUCAUGUACACUUCAAACACUCAAGAUUAGCCUUCCUACGUGAGUGGUGCACGUACCCACUAUGAACCCUCCUGCAUAGAAAUGCAAUGUAGUUGUGUUGCCCUCUGGUGGUUGAGUUAAGUAUGUGCGGUGGAGGAGCAGAGUUUAAUUGAGUGAAUGAGUUGAGUCUUAGUUGUGUAUCCUACUCUAUGUAAUAGAGGAGAUUGUGUGAAAGGGCAGAGGAUUUGGAUGAGGUUUGUCCUCCAUGUUAAUGCUGGAUCUAACUUUCCUUUCCUUAGAUUGUUCUUGUUGUUUCUUCAUAUUAUUCUAAUAAUUAUUUUCACCGAAUUUGUUUUAUUUCUGAUCCUGUAUCUGUGUAGUCAUGCUAUUAUUUCAUAUUAUGGAUAUUUAUGAUUAUUUAUAAACGUUUUUCUUCUUAUUUAAUUUUGUACUAUCAGAUAUACACAUUUAAAUGAGAACACUUAAAGUAGCCACCCUUUGCCAGCUUUGCACACUCUUGACAUUCUCUCAACCAGCUUCACCUGGAAUGCUUUUCCAACAGUCUUGAAGGAGUUCCCACAUAUGCUGAGCACUUGUUGGCUGCUUUUCCUUUACUCUGCAGUCCAACUCAUCCCAAACCAUCUCAAUUGGGUUGAGGUUGGGUGAUUGUGAAGACCUGGUCAUCUGAUGGAGCACUCCAUUACUCUCCAUGGUCAAAUAGCCCUUACACAGCCUGGAGGUGUGUUUUGGGUCAUUGUCCUGUUGAAAAACAAAAUGGUAGCCCCACUAAGUGUAAAACAGAUGGGAUGGCGUAUCGCUGCAGAAUGCUGUGGUAGUGUAACGGAUGUCAUCUGGAGAAAGAGAGGAGGACCAAAGCGGAGCGUGGUCAUAGAGAAGAGAUACUUCACAAGAGUCCCAAGUCAAGUUUCACAGAGAGGAAACCCUUUGACUUCAGAAGCCCCCACUCUGACUGAGAGGAACAACACAGGUCUCUGUGGUUUCAGCAUCAUGCCUCUGUGCAGUCUCUCACUCAACAGGUCAACAUCCCUUUAUUUCUCUCUCUCAAUGAAAUUUCUGUGUAAAUACUUGACCAGUUAAUUGUUUUUGACUGCAAUUGAGUGGGCCCCUAAAUAGUGGAAGACAUCCUGGGUAUGCUUGGGGAAAUUUUGGUUCAAAUGCACACAGCAUAGUUAUAGGAAUUUAUAUAUCAAAUAUGUUGUUUUUUUAAAAAAAUACUUUCAACAAAUGUAAUUCAUGUCAUUGUUAUCUUAAAUAUUUGUUUGCUAUGUUAGCAAAUGGAUUGUAUGUUUUUUUUUGUGAA